GUAGGUGGCAAGCGUUGUCCGGAGUUAUUGGGCGUAAAGCGCGCGCAGGCGGUUCUUUAAGUCUGAUGUGAAAGCCCACGGCUCAACCGUGGAGGGUCAUUGGAAACUGGAGAACUUGAGUACAGAAGAGGAAAGCGGAAUUCCACGUGUAGCGGUGAAAUGCGUAGAGAUGUGGAGGAACACCAGUGGCGAAGGCGGCUUUCUGGUCUGUAACUGACGCUGAGGCGCGAAAGCGUGGGGGAGCAAACAGGAUUAGAUACCCUGGUAGUCCACGCCGUAAACGAUGAGUGCUAAGUGUUAGGGGGUUUUCCGCCCCGUUAGUGCUGCAGCUAACGCAUUAAGCACUCCGCCUGGGUAGUACGGCCGCAAGGCUG
rnacentral:rRNA from 1 species